rnacentral:rRNA from 1 species
GAUGAACGCUGGCGGCGUGCCUAAUACAUGCAAGUCGAGCGAACGGACGAGAAGCUUGCUUCUCUGAUGUUAGCGGCGGACGGGUGAGUAACACGUGGAUAACCUACCUAUAAGACUGGGAUAACUUCGGGAAACCGGAGCUAAUACCGGAUAAUAUUUUGAACAGCAUGGUUCAAAAGUGAAAGACGGUCUUGCUGUCACUUAUAGAUGGAUCCGCGCUGCAUUAGCUAGUUGGUAAGGUAACGGCUUACCAAGGCAACGAUGCAUAGCCGACCUGAGAGGGUGAUCGGCCACACUGGAACUGAGACACGGUCCAGACUCCUACGGGAGGCAGCAGUAGGGAAUCUUCCGCAAUGGGCGAAAGCCUGACGGAGCAACGCCGCGUGAGUGAUGAAGGUCUUCGGAUCGUAAAACUCUGUUAUUAGGGAAGAUCAUAUGUGUAAGUAACUGUGCACAUCUUGACGGUACCUAAUCAGAAAGCCACGGCUAACUACGCA